rnacentral:rRNA from 1 species
GACGUAGGGUGCGAGCGUUGUCCGGAUUUAUUGGGCGUAAAGAGCUCGUAGGCGGCUCGUCGCGUCGACCGUGAAAACCCGCGGCUUAACUGCGGGCUUGCGGUUGAUACGGGCGGGCUAGAGUUCGGUAGGGGAGACUGGAAUUCCUGGUGUAGCGGUGAAAUGCGCAGAUAUCAGGAGGAACACCGGUGGCGAAGGCGGGUCCCUGGGCCGAUACUGACGCUGAGGAGCGAAAGCGUGGGGAGCGAACAGG